CAUGAUGCCUUUAUGGACCAAGGAUGGUCAAAAGCAUGUGGUCACAUUACUUCAGGUACAAGACUGUCAUGUCUUAAAAUAUACGUCAAAGGAAAACUGUAAUGGAAAAAUGGCAACCCUGUCUGUAGGAGGAAAAACUGUAUCACGUUUUCGUAAAGCUACAUCCAUAUUGGAAUUUUACCGGGAACUUGGAUUGCCGCCGAAACAGACAGUUAAAAUCUUUAAUAUAACAGAUAAUGCUGCAAUUAAACCAGGUUUUUCUCUGCCUAUAUAAAUCCAGGUUGGGUUAUAACUUAAAGGAAAUUCCCCCCCUGCAAUCUUACAGCACUUUGCUGCUUGUAUUAAAUAAACUAUAACUAUAAAUAAACUUUCAGUUACAUUCUC
rnacentral:sRNA from 1 species